GCAAGGAUGACCUUCGCUGGUGCGGAGUGCGGAUUUCAAACCCGUAGGCGAUUAGCGUCGCAGCAGUUCGAUUCUGCCUUCCCUGC
rnacentral:tRNA from 1 species